rnacentral:rRNA from 1 species
UACGUAGGGUGCAAGCGCUAAUCGGAAUUACUGGGCGUAAAGCGUGCGCAGGCGGUUGUGCAUGACCGAUGUGAAAUCCCCGGGCUUGACCUGGGAAUGGCAUUGGUGACUGUACGGCUAGAGUGUGUCAGAGGGGGGUAGAAUUCCACGUGUAGCAGUGAAAUGCGUAGAGAUGUGGAGGAAUACCGAUGGCGAAGGCAGCCCCCUGGGAUAACACUGACGCUCAUGCACGAAAGCGUGGGGAGCAAACAGG